UAUGUACAUAUAAAUCACAUCACCCCUUCUCCGUUGGUCGAUGUGGGAUGUUACAAUCCACCCCUCUUAUGAGCCCGACGUCCUCGUCAGCACACUCACACUACACGGCAGAGUGGCUCUGAUACCAAAUUGUCACAUUCUGAGAUCGCUCUGCUGUAGUACGAUAUUGUCCGCUUUGGGCCCCCCUUUAUGCCCUCACGGUUUUGUUUCUGGAAACUCACGAGG
rnacentral:lncRNA from 1 species